rnacentral:rRNA from 1 species
UACGGGGGGGGCAAGCGUUGUUCGGAAUUACUGGGCGUAAAGGGCUCGUAGGCGGCCAACUAAGUCAGACGUGAAAUCCCUCGGCUUAACCGGGGAACUGCGUCUGAUACUGGAUGGCUGGAGGUUGGGAGAGGGAUGCGGAAUUCCAGGUGUAGCGGUGAAAUGCGUAGAUAUCUGGAGGAACACCGGUGGCGAAGGCGGCAUCCUGGACCGACACUGACACUGAGGAGCGAAAGCCAGGGGAGCAAACGGG